GUUAGCUGUUGCCUGUUGUUCCAGACACUCAGGAGACUGGGGAGGAUUGCUGGAGUCCAGGUGUUCUGGGCUGAGGUAUGCUAUCCUAUUGGGUGUCUGCAUUAAGUUUGGCAUCAAAAUGGUGACCUCCCAGGAGCAGGGAGCCACCAGGUUGCCUAAGGAGGGAUAAACCGGCCCAGGUCAGAAAUGGAGCAAGUCAUAACGUCCACAUUGAUCAUAGUGGAAUUACACCCGUGAAUAGCCACUGUACUUCAACCUGGGCAACACAGCAAGAACCUGUCUCU
rnacentral:SRP_RNA from 1 species